rnacentral:lncRNA from 1 species
UCAGGCGGCGUGUGUGAAGCCCGGCAGCGCUGCCACCACGCCCACGCGGCGAAAGGCAUCCGAGGCCGCUCUGCUGCAGGCAGAGGGCAUGCAGCUCAAGGUGCGCCCCUGCUUCGACUUCGACCACAUGCAGCUGUAUGAUGUCUCAUCCACAGCCUUUGCAUUGAUUGUACAGCUCUGUACCUUGUGGAGCCUGCAUGGUGACCCCUUGCAUCCUGGCAAAAUAUUCCUUCUCAGGGAAUGUUUGUUGGGGUAUUUCCUGCAUUUGGCGUACUCGUGGGAUGUCAAGUAGACAUAGCAUGUCUUGACAGCACUGGGUGCAGGGAUGUUGUCAUGCAGGUGCUGUGAUCAUCAAUGACUCAACAGGUGACUGAUGUGGGUUAUUCCAAUUUUCGCAGGGGGUGCAGAAGGGCGUGGCGCGCAUGCUGGCGCCGAAUGGGCAGCCGCGAAAACUGCCGGCGGCAAUUCUGGCGGCCGGCAACGCGGAAGCGCUGCGGCACUUCACCGAGGAGGAGGAGGCAGGGAACACUGCAGACCGGCACGGCUGGACCAUCAGCAGCGCCGCGCGCUCCAGCCUCGCCUCCCAGACCUCCAUCGACCGCCCCUAGGGAAAUAAAACGUCCC